UAGAAGAAGCUGAUGGACCCCACAUGUGGAAGGUGUACAGGUGAUAUGUAGUCUAUACCAUAUUGAUAUUUGAGAUGCUGAGUGAAGAUGCUUUGGUGCCCUAAUGUUGGAAUGGAUGAUGGAAGAUUUGAGGAGCUCACAUUCAGAAAAUAGGAAACAUCUAGCCACUUGGAGACCUUGAAAGUCCCCCUCAAAGACUCCGUCUUCCUCAAGAGUUGCAAUU
rnacentral:lncRNA from 12 species